rnacentral:rRNA from 1 species
UACGUAGGGGGCUAGCGUUGCUCGGAAUGACUGGGCGUAAAGGGCGCGUAGGCGGAUGGUACAGUCAGAUGUGAAAUUCCCGGGCUUAACCUGGGGGCUGCAUUUGAUACGUGCGAUCUGGAGUGAGGAAGAGGGUCGUGGAAUUCCCAGUGUAGAGGUGAAAUUCGUAGAUAUUGGGAAGAACACCGGUGGCGAAGGCGGCGACCUGGUCCUUGACUGACGCUGAGGCGCGAAAGCGUGGGGAGCAAACAGG